CCUACGGGCGGCAGCAGUGGGGAAUAUUGCACAAUGGACGAAAGCCUGCUGCAGCAACGCCGCGUGAGCGAUGAAGGCCUUCGGGUCGUAAAGCUCUUUCCUCAAGGAAGAUACUGACGGUACUUGAGGAGGAAGCCCCGGCUAACUACGUUCCAGCAGCCGCGGUAAUCCGUAGGGGGCUAGCGUUAUCCGGAAUUACUGGGCGUAAAGGGUGCGUAGGUGGUUUCUUAAGUCAGAGGUGAAAGGCUACGGCUCAACCUUAGUAAGCCUUUGAAACUGGGAAACUUGAGUGCAGGAGAGGAGAGCGGAAUUCCUAGGGUAGCGGUGAAAUGCGUAGAUAUUAGGAGGAACACCAGUUGCGAAGGCGGCUCUCUGAACUGUAACUGACACUGAGGCACGAAAGCGUGGGGAGCAAACAGGAUUAGAUACCCGUGUAGUC
rnacentral:rRNA from 1 species